CCUACGGGUGGCAGCAGUGAGGAAUAUUGGUCAAUGGACGAGAGUCUGAACCAGCCAAGUAGCGUGAAGGAUGACUGCCCUAUGGGUUGUAAACUUCUUUUAUAAAGGAAUAAAACGAGGCACGUGUGCCUUUUUGCAUGUACUUUAUGAAUAAGGAUCGGCUAACUCCGUGCCAGCAGCCGCGGUAAUACGGAGGAUCCGAGCGUUAUCCGGCUUUAUUGGGGUUAAAGGGAGCGUGGAUGGGUUGUUUAGUUAGUUGGGAAAGUUUGCGGGUCAACCGUAAAAUUGCAAUUGAUACUGGCUGUCUUGAGGACAGUUAAGGUAGGCGGAAGUCGUGGUGGAGCGGUGAAAUGCUUAGAUAUCACGAAGAACCCAGAUUGCGAAGGCAGCUUACUAAACUGUGACUGACAUUGAUGCUCGAAAGUGUGGGUAUCAAACAGGAUUAGAUACCCGAGUAGUC
rnacentral:rRNA from 1 species